rnacentral:rRNA from 1 species
GGGACCGCCGGUGAUAAGCCGGAGGAAGGUGGGGAUGACCAAGUCAUAUGCCCUUACGGGCUGGGCUACACACGUGUACAAUGGCGGUGACAUGGGCAGCGACACAGCGAUGUGAUGCUAAUCCCAAAAAGCCGUCUCAGUUCAGAUUGACCGCAACUCGAGGAUGAAGUCGGAAUCGCUAGUAAUCGCGGACAGCAUGCCGCGGUGAAUACGUUCCCGGGCCUUGUACACACGCCCGUCACACCAUGGGAGUGGUUUACCC